GCCAGGUGUGGUGCCCACGCCCGUAACCCCGGCGACUUGGGAGGCUGAGGCAGGAGGAUCUCAAGGCCCAGGCCAGCCUGAGCAACUUAGGGAGACCUUGUCUCAA
rnacentral:sRNA from 1 species